rnacentral:rRNA from 1 species
ACGAUGAAAGAGAAUCCGAUCUCUUCGGAGUGAAGAAUCUCUGGAUUAGUGGCGGACGGGUGAGUAACGCGUGAGCAAUCUGCCUUACACAAAGGGAUAGCCUCGGGAAACCGGGAUUAAUACCAUAUGAUAUCUAUUCACCGCAUGGUUUAUAGAUUAAAGAAUUUCGGUGUAAGAUGAGCUCGCGUCCCAUUAAUUAGUUGGUGAGGGUAACGGCCCACCAAGAUAGCGAUGGGUAGCCGAUCUAAGAGGAUGACCGGCCACAUUGGAACUGAGAAACGGUCCAAACUCCUACGGGAGGCAGCAGUGGGGAAUAUUGCACAAUGGGGGGAACCCUGAUGCAGCGACGCCGCGUGAGCGAUGAAGGCUUUCGAGUCGUAAAGCUCUGUCCUAUGGGAAGAUAAUGACGGUACCAUAGAAGAAAGCCCCGGCUAAUUACGUGCCAGCAGCCGCGGUAAUACGUAAGGGGCGAGCGUUGUCCGGAAUUAUUGGGCGUAAAGAGUGCGUAGGCGGCAAAUUAAGUCAGAUGUGAAAACUAAGGGCUCAACCCAUAGAUUGCAUCUGAAACUGAUAUGCUUGAGUCAAGGAGAGGAAAGUGGAAUUCCUAGUGUAGCGGUGGAAUGCGUA